UGGGGAAUAUUGCACAAUGGGCGCAAGCCUGAUGCAGCAAUGCCGCGUGAGUGAAGACGGCCUUAGGGUUGUAAAACUCUUUCGCUAGGGAAGAUAAUGACGGUACCUAGUAAAGAAGUCCCGGCUAACUCCGUGCCAGCAGCCGCGGUAAUACGGAGGGGGCAAGCGUUAUUCGGAUUUACUGGGCGUAAAGGGCGUGUAGGCGGCUUGAUAGGUCAAAGGUGAAAGCCCUCGGCUCAACCGAGGAACUGCCUUUGAAACCAUCUAGCUCGAGGCCGGGAGGGGGUAGCGGAAUUCCUGGUGUAGCGGUGAAAUGCGUAGAUAUCAGGAGGAACACCAGUGGCGAAGGCGGCUACCUGGACCGGUUCUGACGCUGAGGCGCGAAAGCGUGGGGAGCAAACAGGAUUAGAUACCCUGGUAGUCCACGCUGUAAAACGAUGUCUGCUAGUCGUUGGGGGCGUAGCCCUUCAGUGACGCCGCUAACGCAUUAAGCAGACCGCCUGGGGAGUACGGCCGCAAGGUUAAAACUCAAA
rnacentral:rRNA from 1 species